rnacentral:lncRNA from 1 species
UUUUUUUACCGGAUAUUGUUGAAGCACGCCAUUUUUUCUCGUGCAGAGUGUUGGCAUGUGGUAAGAAGUUGUUGAUUCAAAUUUAACGUUAAAUUGUUUACGUAUAUUGUUAUGUUAUGGUAUUAGGUUGUUUAAAGCAUAGGGAGAAGGAAAAAAAACAUAACUUUAUUUUAAUAUCUUGUUUUCUUUAUUUAUUUUAUAAUCGUUUUGUAUUUGUCAGAAAUCGGAAUGCAUUUUAUGUUGUCCAUUUUAAAUGCGUGACCGACAUUAAAUUGCUUUCUUGAUUCGUAUGUCGGAAUAUUGUUAUAUUUUACUGUGGUGGAAAAGUGUGUUUACGGCAGACUAUGCAUCAUUGUGUUGUUCCCAUUAUAUCGAAAAUUAACAGCCCUUUUUCUUCACUUUUAUGUUUACAUUAUGCAUAAUAUUAAAUAAUUUAUGAAAGUAGCAUUUAUUUCCCUAUGUAGAGUUUAAUUUAGUUUUAAAAGUGAAAUUUGGACAUUUUCAAGUACAAGUUCUAAGGUG